rnacentral:rRNA from 1 species
AUGGGGAGGGCGCCGUGCUGCGACAAGGCGACGGUGAAGAGGGGGCCAUGGUCACCGGAGGAGGAUGCGAUGCUCAAGGCCUACAUUGAGGAGCGUGGCACCGGCAACAACUGGAUUGCACUGCCACACAAGAUUGGGCUGAAAAGAUGCGGCAAGAGCUGCAGGCUGAGGUGGCUCAACUACCUGAGGCCCAACAUAAAACACGGGGACUUCACCCCAGAGGAGGACAGCACCAUCUGCAAGCUCUACAUUAGCAUCGGGAGCAGGUGGUCAAUCAUCGCCGCACAGCUGCCAGGAAGGACCGACAACGACGUCAAGAACUACUGGAACACCAAGCUCAAGAAGCGGCUCCUCGGCGGCCGCCGCAAGGACCGCGGCGCCGGCACGCAGCAGCACCGCCAGGGAGAGCUGGACGGCGCCAACAACGACGGCGAGCAGCAGCCGCUGAGCGCGUCGGCCAUGGAGAGGAUCCAGCUCUGCAUGCAGCUGCAGGAAAUGCAGAACCCCCUGAGCAGCAUCGGCAACCACAACAACUCCUUGCACCUGUGGCAGCCUAGCAGCCAUCAUCAGGUGGCCGCCACUCACAGUAACAACAGCAACAGCAACAGCAGCCGCAGCAGCAGCUUCGAUGUAACAGUAGCUGCUGAGCAGGGACAGUCCAGCUCUCUGAAUGGUCAGCACCUCGGCGGACAGCAGCAGAUGGAGACGACAGCCGCCGCAGACGGCCUGGCCUCCCCGUCGAGCGCGGGCAACUCAAACAUCGUCACCAUCGAAGCCGAGCUUCAGGAGCUUCUCUACAGUGCGACCACGACGACCACCGACAGCGUCGUCACACAGCAAGGGGGUGUGGACUGGUGGAGCUAUGAUCAGGGCAAGUCCCCAGUGAAUUGCUGGGAUUUCACCCCUGAAACCAGCUCGGUUCUCCAGGACUACGCAGCUGUGGUGUAUGACAUGUGA